GUCCUCAUAGUUCAAAGGAUAGAACCGCGGUUUCCUAAAUCGUUAAUCUCAGUUCGAGUCUGGGUGGGGACGCCA
rnacentral:tRNA from 1 species